AAACCACACCGUUUAUGUUUACCGUGAUAAAGUAAUUGGUUAGAGCCUCGGCUCUUUCUUAUAGUUGAUUUCUGUUCAGAUUAUUAUUAUUUACUACAUCCAUUAUAUCUCUAGCCCUCUGAUAUGCUUAGCACCUAUGUCACUUUGCGUCUUCAAUGAUGAUUCAUGUCCUCUGAUACUGUUUAGGUUUUCUGUCUGUUUUUAUUAAGCUCUUAAUGGCGAGUCUAGCUCUAUUUCACUACUUUAAGGCCAUGAACUUCUUCGUUACUGUGGCUAUUAUGCAAUUAUUGAGAUGCCAAACCUUCACAAUUAUGUGAAAUGUCAAAUUCGAGCUAUUUUAAGUUUAUUAUUCUUAGUAAAUAUGUUUUGUGUUUGUUCGAAAUAAUUAUGCAUUUUUCAUUUUCAAGGAAUCACAUUUAAAUUCUUUGUAAGGGCUAUUCUUUACAAGCUGUGAGCUGAUAUACUUCUCGCGCUGUUUAGUGUUUUCUGUAGUUUGAGAUAUGUGAUGAUCCAAAUGUUGAAAGAAAAUCAUGUGACAGUGAAACUCAUUUUAUUAGUUGAUAUUUUAGCAAACAGUUGAACUGCAAAUUCUAAGAAUUGGGGAAGAAUGGGAGAUAUUUGUGCUACCUUAAAUGGAUUGUGAGUAUGAUGAAAUUUCUAUUUAAUUCACCGUACUAUUAUUAUUCAUCUUGAGUCUUCUCUUGUGAAUUUUAACUGUAGUCUUGUACUAGGGUUUUGGGAUUAAAGCAUGCUGGUUGUGAUUUGUGGAAGCAAUUCUUGGUUUUCCUUAUUUGUGAGCAUGAACCAGAUCAGAAACAUUUUUUUUUAAAUAUACUGACCACGCACAAACAGACCCACUUGGUAUCUAUGACAAACUCAGUAUAUUCUGAACCAUAAGAGAGCAAAAAUGGCAAUUGAAAAGAUACUUGGUGGAGAAUAAAAAGGGUUCACCUUCUCAUGUAAUAUAUUACUAGUGGAUUUUCGUGAUCGGAUGUAUAGAUGAAAUGAGCAUAGAAGAAUAACAAAAAAAAAAUUAAAAUAAUAGAAAUUAAAAAUACAUUUUUAACUCCAAGCUGUUAGGUGGAGCUAACAAUUUCAAUUACUAUUUCUAUGUGGCUAAAAAUUACAGAGACUAAGGAGACCUUUUGUUUCCCCAAGUAUUCGAUUCCUGUGCUCUUUUUUAGUACAAAUUAUAUUGUUUUGCAAAAUGAAUUUCUCUAUCUUUUUUUUUCCCUUCGAUUCUUUUAUUUAUUUAUUUAUUUAUUCUUUUGAUUGGUUCGAAUUGAAUCUCUCAAUUGGGUUAUAGAGAUUGGGCAACUGUUUAAAAGAACCACCAUUCAAUGUGUAUCAAUUCUUGACAUCCUUACUACAGUAUCAAUGAAGGAUUAGACUAUUUAUGGAGGAAGUCUUUUCUGAUUAUGGUUGGUUAUGUUUGAGUAAGUUAUGUUCAGGGUUUUUUAUGACGUCAAAAUAGAGUUUGUCCAAUCUUCAAUGUUGUACAAAAGAAGCAAUGGAACAAUUAAGUAUCAACAUAGAGUUUAUCCAAAUCCUAUGUUAAUGCAUGAGAUACUCAUGAAGCUAUUUUGAUUUUUGAGAUUUCUAACGCAAUCAUAAUUGGGGAUAUAGACCUGUGCAUAUACAAACAAUGUGAUCAUCAGGUUAUAAACAUUGUCUUUAUUAUUUGCUCCUCUACUGCUGAUACCAAAAUCAAUAACUCGUUUUUUGAUGUGAGGAGCUUUAUUACAUCUGCAGUAUUCCUUCUUUUGUCAUUGAUCUAUGGCUUUUAAAGAGGCCAUUCAAUUUGGCUCCCUGUGCUGAUGAGUUGAGGACAUCACCUCUUCAAAGCAAGGGAAACGAAUGUAGAUCAUUUUCUAUUAAUGAUUAAGAGUAGUCAAGGUAGGAUGGGGAUGUUCAUUGUAAUUCAUUGAAGGCAGACAGCUCUGAGUCAAUGAUUGCCAUAUAAUUAAGUAUAUUGCUUUUUCCUCAUAUGGGCCCAUCACUUUUGGAAACAAUGGAUGCAUGGGUCGGAUGUAAAGAUAAGACAUGCAAUGAAACUUCAUUUUUCAGUGAAAUAAAUAUAUGGGGUUCUCAAAUGUGGUAAUAAUUGCCAAUUUUCAUUGUCCAUACUUCGCCUCUGAAGGACUUGUUCUUACGUGGUGAAGUAUUUAUGUUAGUGUGUUAAAGCAAUAAGAUAUUCUGUGGUCAAGCAGUCACAUGCGUUGACAUUGCAUCAAUUUGCAAGGAUGUGGGCUUUAAGUGUGUCUACAGAAAUUUCUUUUUGAUCUCUUGUUUGUUCAUACUUUAGUUUUAGCUCCAAGUAAUGUGUUAACUUGAUCUAGAAGAUGAAUCUCUAGAAGCGAAAGAGUUUCAUUAGAUUAAUGAUGUAUUUUGGGAUGUCAACGUUUUAAGAAAUUUUAAUCAAAUUCACAUGAGAAUUUCUUUGAGUGUCGUUCCAUCUUCUAAACAUAUGCUGAAACUUGCUUUCCCUCAAAUAUGGCAAUGACAAAGCAAUCUCAAGAAGUUCAUGCAUCUUUGUCCAAUCCAGUAGCUGAUGAGGAGUGGAUGUUAUUGAAAAGGAGAAAUUAAAAUUGCUAUUGGACCAUGCUAAUUUUCGGUUGUUUUUCCGUACUCCGAUUGGUUCCAUAUUGUGCAUAAUAAUCGAUGUAUGCAGGACAAUGCUAGGAGAAGUGUCAAACAUCAUUUGUACAUUAAAGAAAGAGGAUGAUCUGUGAUUGUUAAGAGGUUUAUAUGGCGAUUCCGAAUACUUUGAUAUAGUGAUAGAUUGAGAUCAAUGCGCCUCAUCAUUUUGAAGCAUAUGUGCUAAAUCAAAAGCACUAUAUUGGAGGGUUGGUGAGCUAUGGAGGUGCUAGAUUUGAAAUUUUACAUAUAUAUUGAUACAUUGUACCCUUCUAAUGAAGACUACAAAUUGGCGAUCAAAGAAUUCAAGUGUUUCAUUUCUGUUUUUUUUUUUUUAGAUUGUCGGAUGCCUAAAAGAGAAAGACAAACACUUUUAUGCUUUAUUAUCUUUACCUGUACAAACUCAAAAAAAUCCUCAAAUGUUACGCUUCUUAUUAGAGGCUUGGUACUUUAUAGAAUAUGUACUUCUAUGCAGGUUACUUUAGUAUAUGACGGUCAGACGACCUUCUCUUGCUUUGGGUGAACAUUCUCCUUUAUCUAUAUUGAAAGUACGAUUCUUUGAAACCACAACUAGUGAAGGGCAGUGAUAUAUUAUUUACCUUCUUAGGAAAGAAGGAUAAUGAAAAGGAGACAAGGAGAAUACUCGCCAGGUCAACACAUACGAUCUGCAUCUCUCAUUUUAGGCUUUCAGUGAUGCAUGAACACUAAAAAGUAUGUGCCCUUUUGCUUGGUUUCAUAUCUGUGGUCUUUGAUAAAGGGGAACAUGUAUUUGUCUUCCUUUUGGGGGUAGGUUAGCAUGGGAUUCAAACAUGAUAUGUAGCUGCAAUGGUCAACACCAUGACCCAUCAGGCCACUCCAUGAAUUCCAAAUGGGUGCACACAUCCAAAACAUUUGUUCUGACCAUCUAAAAUUUGGAGGACGCAACUUGGAGAUAAGUUUCCAAUUUAGCACUUCCCUCGGCUAGCCAUUCUUCAUUAUUAUAUUCUGUGCAUAGUCAGUGUUUCUGCAAUAUAUUGUAGACCUUUAUUUAAAGCUCUUACUCAUAGGUGACCAUGGUUGCUCUUUGUUAAAACUUGAUGCCUCGGAUCUUUUUAUCAUCUUAGUCUUGAAUGUCCAGUCUUGAUUUCCAUUCUCAUUCACUCCUCAUCCUAACUCCUAAGCUUUGCCCCCUUCUUCCUUAAAACUUACUACUAUAGAAGGGGCAGAAAAUGAGAUUGGGGGGAGAGAGAGAGGGGCAGAAAAUGAGAUUGAGGAGAG
rnacentral:lncRNA from 1 species